CAACAGAAUAGAAACUAGAGCAAAAGAGGCCCUGGUUAAUGCUACCCGUGGAUCACACUGCCUAGACACUUGUGAAACAACUGUUGUUUAUGCAGCAUUAAACAUUCCUCGAGAGAGUGUGAAAUCAAGAAAUGAGAACUGUCCAGCUCCGACACUUACUUCAGUGACCUGCACCGAGGAAUCAGUGACAUACUCUGAGGUCCACAUAAAGAAAAGACCAAAGGAUGAAGGUUAAGCAUUAUUUGCCUGGAUUUUAUUCACACUGUAAUCUCUUUCACCUUGCAUAUGAGGCAGGGUGUAAUUGCCAGUCUUUUAAUUGCACUUCAAGCUUCUGGUCCUUUUUGGCCCAAUUUUGUGAGGUUAUUGCUGUAAAUAUUUUUAUAUAGUUUCCAAAUUUCUGUUUCUCAUCAUGUAAUACUCUUGAAGACUGAAUUGUUAAAUGUAGUCGGCUCACAUUUGAGUCUAUAUU